AUUGAACGCUGGCGGCAGGCCUAACACAUGCAAGUCGAACGAGUGGCGGACGGGUGAGUAAUGUCUGGGAAACUGCCUGAUGGAGGGGGAUAACUACUGGAACCGGUAGCUAAUACCGCAUACUAUCGGAUGUGCCCAGAUGGGAUUAGCUAGUAGGUGGGGUAAAGGCUCACCUGGGCGACGAUCCCUAGCUGGUCUGAGAGGAUGACCAGCCACACUGGGACUGAGACACGGUCCAGACUCCUACGGGAGGCAGCAGUGGGGAAUAUUGCACAAUGGGCGCAAGCCUGAUGCAGCCAUGCCGCGUGUAUGAAGAAGGCCUUCGGGUUGUAAAGUACUUUCAGCGGGGAGGCGUUACCCGCAGAAGAAGCACCGGCUAACUCCGUGCCAGCAGCCGCGGUAAUUC
rnacentral:rRNA from 1 species